AUGGGGCAGACCUGUGCGCCAGUAAUGGAGCCCUGCGAGCAGAAGAGGAAACCAGCAAAGGUACGAGAUUUGUUUGCCAUUCCUAAAAUUGUAGGAAGUCGGGGAUGGAAGGCCACCGGAGAGAUUGGGAAGGCCCCGAUUGGUGGUGCGGGGAAUAGGAAAGAGACCAGGCCUGCUAGUUUCCUUUCUCAGCGAUCAACGGAAGAUUUUUGGGAGGUAACAGAGAGCAGGGAGGGAUUUGGACGACUGAAAAGGAAUGGUACAGUAGAAUCCGGUGAGGAAAUCAGGAGAGCAAUCUUCGGAUUCCGGCCUGGUUGGGCUAUCUCCGGGGAAGGAAGAUUGGAGAAGACGAUCCAUAUAAGGUGUAGAAGAAGGGGAGCCAGCCUCCAGAAGAAAAUCACAUCUUCUUCCCCUGUAGUUGUGAGCGCCAUGGCACCUGCAACCCAUCCAAAGAAGAAUGCUGCUGAUGAGAAGAGCGAGAUCAGGAGCUGUGGAGGGGACAACAUCACCCCCUUUGUUCAGCGCCCUGGCAAGGAGCACAUGAGGGAGGGGCAUGGUGUUGAGACCAUGUCCUCGGCUGUCCGCCGGGAGAGAGAAGAAGCUGUGGCGGUGGAGAAGGGUGGCCGACCGACGCCGCUGCUAGUCCCGGAGGAGGCGUUGGGAAAGUUGAGCCUGCUGGAUGAGGAUGACAAUGCUCUGGUGGUGGACUUCAAGGAGGCCGCCAAGAAUUUCUGUAAGUGGCUCAUCGUCGUUGUGUAUCUGACAUCAAGGGUGUACAGCCCAAAUGCCCUGUUCACCACCAUGAGGCGGGUGUGGAAGCCGCAUGGGGACAUGACAGAAAAGCCGAUGCCGGGCAACCGGUUCAUCAUUGAACUGCAGCAUGAAGGUGACUAUCUCCACAUCCUACGGGGUGGCCCGUGGAUCCAUGACAACGACACCCUGCUGGUGGCGGCGCAUGAUGGCAUGAGGGCGGCUGCGGAGGUCCCCGUCGACAUCCUGCCCAUGUGGGCUCGCAUCUACGAACUCCCGCCGUUCAUCAUGAUGGACGAUACCCUCUGCGAGCAAGCGGGCAAGAAGCUGGGAAAGGUGCGGCUGGUCCACACCAACAAUAAUGGCCGCACCUUAGAUCAGUUCCUCCGCAUCCGGAUCGAGCACAAGGUGGUUGAACCGCUAAGGAGGUGGAUAAAGAUUGAAGGCACGGAUGGAAGAGAUGCUAAAAGAUGCCCUGUAAAGUAUGAGCACGUUCCCCAUUUUUGUUUUUAUUGUGGCAUCAUUGGGCACACAGAGAAAUCAUGUCUGAUAAUAGAAGAGGAGAAGAUAGGGCGGUUCUCUACGGAGCAGCCUGCCUCGCCAUACAAGAUGUUCGAGCACCGGAGCUUCUAUAUGCCAGGGGAGGUGAGCAGUGCCAAGCGCAACCUCCAGUUUGGUAGGCUCCCUUCACAGGCUCUUGUGAUGGAUGCAGAAGAUGGAAACGGGAAGAAAGCAGGGGAGACAGAAAAGUUGGGCACCAAUAUGAAGGCCACCGACAACGAUGAGCGGACGACAACGGAUCCCAUGAUCAAGGCUGUCGUGAAAGGGGUGGUUGCCGCUGUGGAGAAUCUCAAGGCCAAUGAAGAGGUUGUAGCGGACAGAGUACACAGGAUAACUAACAUUCCUAUGCAGGUGAAUCCAGAACAGCAAGUAAAGUCGAAGACAGUCUGGAAUCAGCGUGCCCGUUCUGAACAUUCCAGGGCUAGCAGCAAUGGGCGUGGGAAGCCUCUCUUCCAGGCGGCCAAAAGGAACCCAGGGCUGGGACGACUGGCUGCAGCUAUCAGGGCCAGAGUGGCCAAGCAUACUGCUGGCCUUGCUACUGGUCGUGAAGCCAACAAGCCUUCUGAUGCCCCAGUUCAUCCAAGGGGUGUUGAUGGCCUUGUAGUGACCACCCCAGCACAUGAGGUGAUGGGGGUCGCUGCAAUUCAGCAACUGGCGCUGCAUCCAUAUGCUGGGGGUGCUACUGAUGGGCCAGUGCAGCCAGCGGUGGCCUACUCCCCGAUCCGCGAAUAUGGCAGGAGUGACAGCUCUAUUUGCCGUGAGUUGUACGGUCCAGAUGACACCAACAACGCUGCCUGCGUAUACCGCCGGAAGAAUCAAGUUCUUGGUAAGCGCAGCGGAGAGGACCGAGCUCCAAUGGAUCUGGAUGAUGAGAACAACCUGCCAAAGUUCAGUUUUGAGAGCAGCAAGAAGAGCAGAGGAUCACCUUCGGUGUCGCUGGAGGAGGAGACCAGGAAGGAGGACGCCAAGAAAUCGGAGGCAACCAGCCAUGGGGCCGCUGGUCAACUGACAGGCACGGAUGAGCGUGCCUGUCAGGAGCCAUGA
rnacentral:rRNA from 1 species